rnacentral:rRNA from 1 species
AGUGAACGCUGGCGGUAGGCCUAACACAUGCAAGUCGAACGGCAGCACAGUAAGAGCUUGCUCUUACGGGUUGCGAGUGGCGGACGUGUCAGGAAUACAUCGUAAUCUACUUUUUCGGGUGGGUUAACGUAGGUAAACUUACUCUAAUACCGCAUACGACCUACGGGUGAAAGCAGUGGAUCUUUUGACCUUUCGCGAUUGAAUGAGCCGCUGUGGGAGUAGCUAGUUGGCGGGUUAAAGGCCCACUAAGUCGACGAUCCGUAGCUGGUCUGAGUGGAUGGUCAGCGACACUAGAGCUGAGACACGGACAAGAGUACUACGGGAGGCAGCAGUGGGGAACAUUGGACAAUGGGGGGAAGUAUGGUCCAGCCGUCGCGAGCGGGUGAAGAAGGCCCUCGGGGUGUAAAGCCCUUUUGUUGGGGAAGAAAAGCAGCAGGUUAAUACGAAGCUGUUCUGACGGUACCCAAUGAAUAAGCACCGGCUAACUUCGUG